CGUAGGUGAACCUGCGGAAGGAUCAUUAAUGUGUUUGGGCCUCACGGCUCUUCAUUCCGACGCUGUGCGCCUUCGGGCUGCACGCUGAGGGAGCAUAUAUCCACCCCUGUGCACACACACGGUGGCGAGCUGGGUAACGGCUCGCCGCUGAUCUUUACACACGUCUAAAAGUCAUUGUAUGUUUAUUUGAGAUAAAAACACAACUUUCAGCAACGGAUCUCUUGGCUCUC
rnacentral:misc_RNA from 1 species